GGUACCCGGGUGCGGCCGUGCUGCAACGGCUUCGGCGGCGAUCCAGCUUUGCUGGAACAAGCUACUUUUUUUUGCUGGAACCAUCAUUAAUUUUUGCUAUCACUCACCCGCCCAAAUUUUUGCUACUAGGUGAUUUUUGCUGCAACCGAUGAACCAUUUUGCUACAACCGUUUCGAUUUUUUGUUACUAUCGGUGUUUGUGGAUUUUUGCUACAUCCAUCUUCUGUUUUUCCUGUCUUUUUUGUUACAACCAUAUUUUGAUUUUGCUGAAACUGAAGACAAUUUUUGCUACAUCCACCCACGGCGGUGUUGCUCAACGGCGGCAAUGGUUGUUAUUUUGCUACAACUGUCUCGAAUUUUUGCUACUACCGGAGGUGCCAUUUGCUACCACCGGAGUUUUUGCUAUGGCAAAUGUUUACAGCCGGACGACCGGCUAAGUUUUGGGCCGGUCGCGCGUGACGCGCGUCCCAUGUGGACCCACAUCCAAACUGCCACGCACUUCUCUGGCUUCCGUUCUUAUCCUUUCGCUCUUAUCUCUUCCUCCAUCGUUCUUUCUUUUUCUCUCUCCCAUCGUUCCCCAUCUCUCUCAAGCCAUCGAUGGAGCACCUCUCUUUUCGAUCCGCCGGCUUGGUUCUCCGGCGUGCUCCCUUCCCACUAUAACCCUCUUAUCCAAUGUGAGCUCCUCCAUUCUCUUCCCUCCCUCCCUCCUACUUCAUCAGCCCUCAUUUUUCUAUUGCGUGCUGCAAGGGCCGGAGGCGCAGAUGCUGCGCCCAGGCGACCAUCCCUCCAAACGGCGAGCCAGGGGACACCGAUGAUGCAACCGGUUUCGCGGGCUGCUACAACCGGCAUCGUGUGGUGCUACUACCAGCACAGCGGGGAGCUGGAACUGGUUACACCAGAGCUGUGAUGACACGUGGCUGUUUGCUGGAACCGGCACUCCGAGGAGCUGCAACCAGCUUACAUAUAGCUGCAACCAGCAAUCUGCGGUGCUACAACCAACAGAGGGCGGCGGGCAAGAGAGGUCCACAACGACGGCGAGCCAGGGGCAGCGGCGUCGUGCUAUAUUGGGUGGCGUGAGUUGCUGGAACCGCGUAUGGCAGAGCUGCAUCCGGCAGGGGCGGUUGAAACGACAGCGAGAUGAGGAAGGCGUAUGAUGAUGGUGAAUUCGGGCUGCGGAGAGAGCGGCAAGCAGUGGUGAUCCAGCGCGCAACGGUGAUCCGGCAAGCGGCGAAGAUUCGGCAGGUCAUGGGGCCCGUCCAUGGCGCUCGCGCCUCUGUAGGUGCUCCCGUGAUUUUCAAGGGAAAAGAAAAGGAAACAGUGAUCGAGACGAAAGGGUCAUGUAUCUGACGGUUAAAAGGGGUGUCUCGGACAUCCCGGAUGCGACCGGCCCAAAUUUGGGCCGGCGCACCGGCGCCUAUGAGUGCCCUUUUGCUAUUACCAGUCUUCCUGUAAGCAUUAGGAGUUUUUGCUACCACCCUUUGUUUUUGCUGGAACCAUCCUAAAAAUUUGUUACCAACGUCUUUUGAUUUUGCUGGAACCGGCAUUUUUCGCUUCGGUGUCGGCGGUGAUGGCAGGUGGUGUUUUGGUUUGCCGGCGGCGAUGAGGCUGCAAGCGCCGGCGACGAGCAGGGGCAGCGGUGGUCCAAGCGAGAGCAGCGCAGCCCAGCAUGCGGGAUCCCGUGAGCGGCGGCGGCGCUUGCUUUUUUCUCCUCUUUUUUCCCGUGGAGGAGGAUGGCAAUAGAAGAUGCGGGGCUGAUCUGACGGUUACGCGCGUCCAGAUCGAGCGGCUCUGGUUUGACCAGCCGAAACGUUCCGCCGGUGCGCUGGCUUAGAGUACUGCCCUUAAAUUUGCCUCAUCUAACGGGAGUCUCGGGAUGGACAGAGAAGCCGGUAGGGCAGUAAAAUCUCAAAAAAAAAAGGCCGGUAGGGCAGUAAAUGAGUUGGAACGCCCCAUGCUGGAGAGUAUUUGGUUCGCAUAGUAAGCUUGGUCGGCGCAUCACCUCUUACCUCCCUCCCGCACACCAUAGGAGUAGCGCUUUCGCCAUGGAUGGGAUGCAGUUCUUCGAGGAGUGCGAUACAGGGAUCAGAUCUAACCGGCUGUCGCUUUCCGUACUAUUUGGGCUCGUUUGGACGCCGGACUUUUGUUAAUGGAGGGAGUUGCUGGCGAGCAAUCGGUUGAUGAUCAGACAAACAGAUCUCCUGGUGUCUGACAUGCUGGUUUCAUUUUUACUGAAUCAGGCGACGGCGGGACGCUCUGCAGGACCAAGGAGACAAGCAUACGGAGGAAACAAUCAUCAGAGAGGAUUAAUAACUCGGACAAUGGUGGUAGCAAAGGAGGAUGGAGAUGAGGACAGCGUGGUCGUGUCCAGUCACAGGGGUCUUGCUGGACGCGAAGGUAAUAGCAUUACCACAAAAUCGGAUGUGGUGUCUGCCGGAUUAGUCAAAUUUGUUCAACGUGUUCAUUAGGCACAAGUUCUUUUGAUGUGGCCUCAAAUUUUGUGGGAAGAUGGAUGCGUAUCUGUCGCACGGCACCUUUGAACAUGAUGGGUUAGACGAUGGCAACUGUGCAUGAGCUGGUAGGGCCGAGUGGUUAACAUGGGAUGGUACUGUGCAUAAAUGGAGAAUACAGGGUCAUGCAAAAGUGUAUCAGGUGAAAUACGUGCAUGUAAUACCAGACUGCACCUGAUUCCUAUGCAGACGGACGUGCCAGAUAACGGCCUGCACGGAGCUCGGCCUCAAAACAGCAUUUCCGCAUUUUUGUUUCAUACUGUACAUACCGUAGGUUUUUAUAUGGAAUUGUCACCUUCUUAA